GGUAAUUCUAGAGCUAAUACAUGCUAAAAACCCCGACUUCGGGAGGGGUGUAUUUAUUAGAUAAAAAACCAAUGCCCUUCGGGGCUCUCUGGUGAAUCAUAAUAACUUAACGGAUCGCAUGGCCUUGCGCCGGCGACGGUUCAUUCAAAUUUCUGCCCUAUCAACUUUCGAUUGUAGGGUAGUGGCCUACAAUGGUAUCAACGGGUAACGGGGAAUUAGGGUUCGAUUCCGGAGAGGGAGCCUGAGAAACGGCUACCACAUCCAAGGAAGGCAGCAGGCGCGCAAAUUACCCAAUCCCAAUACGGGGAGGUAGUGACAAUAAAUACUGAUACAGGGCUCUUUUGGGUCUUGUAAUUGGAAUGAGUACAAUUUAAAUCCCUUAACGAGGAACAAUUGGAGGGCAAGUCUGGUGCCAGCAGCCGCGGUAAUUCCAGCUCCAAUAGCGUAUAUUAAAGUUGUUGCAGUUAAAAAGCUCGUAGUUGAACCUUGGGUCUGGCUGGCCGGUCCGCCUCACCGCGUGCACUGGUCCGGCCGGACCUUUCCUUCUGGAGAACCGCAUGCCCUUCACUGGGUGUGUCGGGGAACCAGGACUUUUACUGUGAAAAAAUUAGAGUGUUCAAAGCAGGCCUUUGCUCGAAUACAUUAGCAUGGAAUAAUAGAAUAGGACGUGCGGUCCUAUUUUGUUGGUUUCUAGGACCGCCGUAAUGAUUAAUAGGGAUAGUCGGGGGCAUCAGUAUUCAAUUGUCAGAGGUGAAAUUCUUGGAUUUAUUGAAGACUAACUACUGCGAAAGCAUUUGCCAAGGAUGUUUUCAUUAAUCAGUGAACGAAAGUUAGGGGAUCGAAGACGAUCAGAUACCGUCGUAGUCUUAAC
rnacentral:rRNA from 1 species